rfam:Colletotrichum tofieldiae strain 0861 Ct_v4_contig207, whole genome shotgun sequence.
ACAAACGACCAUACCCACUGGAGAACUCGGGAUCCCGUUCGCUCUCCCAUAGAUAAGCCAGUGAGGGCCGGAUUAGUAGUUGGGUCGGUGACGACCAGCGAAUACCUGGUGUUGUAUGUU